rnacentral:rRNA from 1 species
GGCUGAAAUUCGCCUUCAUGAAGCCGGAAUUGCUAGUAAUGGCAGGUCAGCAUACUGCCGUGAAUACGUUCCCGGGCCUUGUACACACCGCCCGUCACACCAUGAGAGUUGGGAUACCCGAAGCCUGUGAGCUAACAGUAAUGGAGCAGCAGUCGAAGGUAGAAUCAAUGAUUGGGGUGAAGUCGUAACAAGGUAAC